rnacentral:rRNA from 1 species
AACAAACGCUGGCGGCGUGCCUAACACAUGCAAGUCGUACGAGAAAGUCCGCUUCGGUGGGCAAGUAAAGUGGCGCACGGGUGAGUAACGCGUGGAUAAUCUACCCUUUAGUCUGGAAUAACUUACCGAAAGGUGAAUUAAUACCGGAUAACAUCCCGAUUUCCCCGGAGAUCGGGAUCAAAGAAGGCCUCUGCUUGCAAGCUUUUGCUGAAGGAUGAGUCCGCGUACCAUUAGCUAGUUGGUAGGGUAAUGGCCUACCAAGGUUAUGAUGGUUAGCUGGUCUGAGAGGAUGAUCAGCCACACUGGAACUGAAACACGGUCCAGACUCCUACGGGUGGCUG